ACGAACGCUGGCGGCGUGCCUAAUACAUGCAAGUUGAGCGCUGAAGGUUGGUACUUGUACCACCUGGAUGAGCAGCGAACGGGUGAGUAACGCGUGGGGAAUCUGCCUUUGAGCGGGGGACAACAUUUGGAAACGAAUGCUAAUACCGCAUAAAAACUUUAAACACAAGUUUUAAGUUUGAAAGAUGCAAUUGCAUCACUCAAAGAUGAUCCCGCGUUGUAUUAGCUAGUUGGUGAGGUAAAGGCUCACCAAGGCGAUGAUACAUAGCCGACCUGAGAGGGUGAUCGGCCACAUUGGGACUGAGACACGGCCCAAACUCCUACGGGAGGCAGCAGUAGGGAAUCUUCGGCAAUGGACGAAAGUCUGACCGAGCAACGCCGCGUGAGUGAAGAAGGGUUUCGGAUCGUAAAACUCUGUUGGUAGAGAAGAACGUUGGUGAGAGUGGAAAGCUCAUCAAGUGACGGUAACUACCCAGAAAGGGACGGCUAACUACGUG
rnacentral:rRNA from 1 species